UACGUAGGGUCCGAGCGUUAAUCGGAAUUACUGGGCGUAAAGCGUGCGCAGGCGGUUUUGUAAGCCAGAUGUGAAAUCCCCGAGCUUAACUUGGGAACUGCAUUUGGGACUGCAAAGCUGGAGUACGGCAGAGGGAGGUGGAAUUCCACGUGUAGCAGUGAAAUGCGUAGAGAUGUGGAGGAACACCAGUGGCGAAGGCGGCUUUCUGGUCUGUAACUGACGCUGAGGCGCGAAAGCGUGGGGAGCAAACAGG
rnacentral:rRNA from 1 species